AAGAAGGUGUCGUCUGUCGUGGAU
rnacentral:siRNA from 1 species